GAUGAAGAACGUAGUGAAACGCGAUAUGUAAUGUGAAUUGCAGAAUUCAGUGAAUCAUCGAAUCUUUGAACGCACAUGGCGCCUUCCAGUAUCCUGGGAGACAUGCCUGUCCGAGCGUCGUUUCAACCCUCGAGCCCCCGUGGCCCGGCGUUGGGGAUCUGCCCAGGCAGUCCCCGAAAACCAGUGGCGGACCCGUUACAGGCCCUUCCCUUGCGUAGUAGCAUUCGCCUCGCAUCGGGAGCCGGCGGGCUUCCAGCCUCUAAACCCCCAUCAAGUCCGCCCCGGCGGCACCAAGGUUGACCUCGGAUCGGGUAGGAAUACCCGCUGAACUUAAGCAUAUCAAUAAGCGGAGGA
rnacentral:misc_RNA from 1 species